UGACCGUCUCCGGCUCUAGUUCUUGGUGGAACCCAGCGGAUAUUGUGGGAGGCUGAAGAGCAUGCGUUAAUGGUAGAAAAGUCUAGUGAUUCUGCCUUUAGUAACCUUUAUUAUUUGCCACAAUGGUUGUACUACGCUGAUCAGCUGAGAGGUUGAUUCGAGUGUUUUCUUUUUGCGAGUUUGACAGAUGCUUGUGUUAUUAUCCUUUGCCUCUUAAGCAAUGAUCUUAAUGCACACUUGUUGAGUGCCACAUACAGUAGAUACUAUCUGCAAAGGAAAGUACACUCAAGUCAUCGAUCAUGCUGGUAUGUUGUUACACUCUUAAACCAGGUUAGUAAUGAGAUCGUUAGCUGAUGUUUGGAACAAAAAUGAAGGGCAUGCCCAAAUGUGACCCUUCCUGAGUGCACUUCAGCCUGUAUGAAUGUCGAAGUGCUUUUAGGCUACUAGCAUUCCAAAAGAGAUUAGCUGUACAUUCCGGUUACUAGCAUUCCAAUUAAAAUGAGAUUAACUGGAAUCCAGACUUUAAUCUACUUCCGUCUUAGUUCUUCCGUUGAAAUUACGCUGAAGAACUCAAGAUUCACGGGCGUAACCCACAGCGUAAUGAGAUUAACUGGAAUCUAGACUUCAAUCUAUGCGUGUCAGUUCUUCCCUUUUAAUCUAAAUUCGCCCCCCUAUAUAUCCACGAGGGUGUCUGCCUUGAACCCUCAUCGUUCAUGCACACAACUGUAUAUAUCCACGAGGGUGUCUGCUUUGAACCCUCAUCGUUCAUGCACACAACUGUAUAUAUCCACGAGGGUGUCUGCUUUGAACCCUCAUCGUUCAUGCACACAACUGUAUCCCUCAAAUUGUCCGAUCAAAUGUAUGUGAUUGAUGGAGAUGAAAAAAAAAGAAAGAAUAAAGAAUGAGAUAAAGUGGGCCAAAUGGAUGUGUCCGACGUGGUGGACUGCCGAACAUUUUCAGAUGUCCUCAUGUACUCCCGCAUAUAGGCUAAGUUUGAGGGUUUACGGAUAGCUCGGACGUACAUAGACAGGGGGAGGGGGAGGCCUGUUGGGUACGCCUUUUCCUUCUCUUUGCUAUCUGGUUAUCUGUCUGGACGUAUAUGAACAAAGGAGGGUGGUAGACAAUCAUCUUUUGCAGAUUCUUAGAUGUUGUGCGUGCAAUGUGCGUUGUAGAUUUCAUACUGUAUGUACUCGUUCAUUGUUUUGAUUGUUUCGUUUUUUUUCUCUCUUCAUCCCAGGCAUAGCUUUGGUCUUGUAUGACUUUGAUAUCUGCUAGUAGGAUUAUGUGUGUGUGCUAGUGUUGGCUGUGUGCAUCUUAAUUAUGCAGAGGCCGGGUGUGUAUUCAUAGUGCAUGUAUCCCCUUGAUGCUACAUUAUGAAUCAAUAAAAACCGCCCUUUACCGAAAAAGUUUGUGCGUGUUAUCUAAGCUUUUAUCUACUCCCUCCCUCCCAAAAUAUAAAAACGUUCUUAUAUUUUGAGACAGAGGGAGUAGCUCUGAGAGGAGUGUGCCAACACACACAAAAAUAGAUAAAUAAAUCAAAAUAAGCUAUGAAUUAUCAAUGUUAGAUAGAAGACAAACAGGAUCAGACUUGAACAGGGUAAUGAUACAUCAUCAUGCUGUGCAAAUCGACCAGCCAAUAAUCGCUUGGGUAGACCGUAGGCCAGUGUCCGCCUUUGGUUGCUCAGAAAACCUCCGGGUUGAAGUUCCCAGGCAUGGACGCCCCGCCGCCCGCGUUCCUGAGGUGCAUGGACAGCACAUACUUGUCCGCCUCGAGCUGCCGGACCUGCUCCCGGUGCUGGGCGACCUGGCCCUGGAGCUCCCUGCCCUCCGCCUCGUCCUCCAAGUGCUGCCGGUGCUGGAGCAGCACCGCCUUCUUCAGGAUGGUGUUCUGCCGCCGGAUGUUUCCCAGCUCCCGGUCCUUAUCGGCGACGACACGCGCGGCGCGAGUGCAGACGGCGCCCCCGAAGGCCUCGAGGAUCUUUGCGGCGCGGCGCCGGGCGUCGUCCAUGGAAGCGGCGCUCGCCAUCUCGCCCACCAGGACCUCCGUCCAUUCAGCCGCCGAUUGUUUUACUUUUGCAUGGUCGUCGUCUGCGGCGGCGGGCUGCGCCGGGGCGUACGGAGGAGCGGUGACCCCGUCGCCGUCCGGCGGGCAAUCCAGGCGCAGCUGGAGCAUCCUCUCCAGCACCGCUUGGAAGUCGUCCGUGUCCAUGGCGGACGGCUGGCUGGCGACGUCAACUCCCUUUUUGCUCGGCUCGAGUCCUUUUGGCAGGUAUGAGAGGCUGGUCGCGUAUAUAUGGGAAGCCAUGGUUGGAAACCGAGUCGAACAGUAACUGGCCGGCCUAACGGGCCUGGCGGCCCAACCUCGUUUCCGAGUUCGGCCGCGUGGCCAGCCCACGCAAAAGCCCAGCCCAGGGCCUCCCAACCGCAUAGCAUUUCUGCAUUUUUCCCCACUUGGUACCAAAAUCAAAUCGAAACCCCGGAAUUUCCAGACCAAACCCCUACCCCAUCCCCGGCACCGGGAAUGCGGCGCGGGCGCGGCGGCGGCGGCGGCGGCGGGCGGCACCCGAAGGCCCCCUCCUCCUCGGCGGCCGUGGACCGCACUCCGAUGACGGACCAGCCGCUCUACCCGCGGAACCUCGACCACGCCUUCUCCCGCCGCGACUCGGACGCCUUCAGCGUCUGCUCCUCCAUGGGCACGGCGCCCUCCCACGCCGCCCCCAUCACCAGCCUCUCCGACCGCGCCUCCCAGGCCGCCGCCCUCCGCGCCGUCAACGCCUACCUCGCCCCCGCCGCCAUCCACCUCCGCCCGCCCCUCCCGCCCGCCAAGGACAUCGUCGCCGCCUUCCACCACCUCGCCGACCGCCUCCGCUACCCCCUCAAGCCCGCCGCCUGGGAGGACGACCUCCUCGCCCUCCUCCGCUCCCUCGGAUGCCCCUACAAGGUCACCAGAUCCGNNNNNNNNNNNNNNNNNNNNNNNNNNNNNNNNNNNNNNNNNNNNNNNNNNNNNNNNNNNNNNNNNNNNNNNNNNNNNNNNNNNNNNNNNNNNNNNNNNNNNNNNNNNNNNNNNNNNNNNNNNNNNNNNNNNNNNNNNNGCCAAGGACAUCGUCGCCGCCUUCCACCACCUCGCCGACCGCCUCCGCUACCCCCUCAAGGCCGCCGCCUGGGAGGACGACCUCCUCGCCCUCCUCCGCUCCCUCGGAUGCCCCUACAAGGUCACCAGAUCCGCCCUCAAGGCCCCCGGCACCCCGCACUCCUGGCCGCCGCUCCUCUCCGUCCUCUACUGGCUCACCCUCCUCUGCCGCGCCACCGACGGGCUCGCCGCGUCUCCUCCCCCCUCCACUGACCUCAUGACCUACAUCACCGAGAGCUACUACCUGUUCCUCACUGGCGAGGAUGACGCCGUCGCCGCCCUCGACGACGACUACCACUCCAAGGCCCGCGCCCAAGUCGGUGCGUUGGGGGUGGCCAUUCAGGACCUGGAGAAGGAGGUUCAGGAUCUCGAGGCCAAGCGGAGCAAGCAAAUGUCGGCGCCCUCUCGCCUCAAGGCGCUGGAGGAGAAGAAGGAUGCAUUUACUGCCGACGUUCAGAAGUUCGAGGCGGUGGUCAAGAGCUGGUCCACCAAGAUCAAGGAGAAGGAAGAUGCCUUGGUGGAGAAGGAGAAGGAGCUGGAGGCCAAGGUGAUGAAUUGCCAGCAGACGAUGGCCGAGAAUGAGGAGCUGCUGAAACAGGUGGAGACGCAGGUGGUCAAUGUCAGAGAUGUUGAUAGGAUGGCUAGGGAGAUGCAAGCGGUGGAGCAUGAUAUUGCCAAGUUGGAGAAUGCCAAUGCUGUACUGGAGGAGAAGGGGUGGGAACUUGAAGCUGCACUUGUCAGCAAGCUCGAGGAGAUCGAGGGCCUUGCCGAGCUGUGCAACCAGUCCCUCAGGAAGUAUGAAUUCCCUAAAGAACAUUGGAUCUCCUGAUUCUUUGAUUUUUUUCUCAAUGUUUUUAUUCUUUCACCAAUGGUUCGAUUGUUAUCUAAGCACCUUUAAACUGACCUUAACUGAGUAACCAUGUUAUCUAAGCAUCUAUCUGUUGUAAUACUGAAAUGUUGCUCCAUAGUUCAAUAUGUUUAGUCUUCUUAACCUCCAUAGUUCAAAUAUUAGUUCAUUUGGAGAGUCAACUAAUUUUGUUCAUACCUAAGCACUCCAAUUACUUAAUCUCAGAAUUCUUUUUGUAUGAUCUUUUGCUUUGUUUAGGAUAUGCGGUCAUGCAGUUUACAAGAUUGUGCUUUAACUUGCGAUAGUGCUCUCUUGAUUGUGCAAUUUGUCUCAUGUCUUUUGUAUGUUACCUUUUACCUUUCUUGUUGUUUGUCAUUCUUAACUUGUUUUACUGCUUGUUUCCUUAACGGUUUAGAGUACACUCUGCUAGUCUGCUGUGUGUGCAAUUAUAUAGCUAAGCCUGCUUAGGGGAAAGCCUUAUUUUUUCGUGGACUAUCAUUGAGAUGUCAGGUUAGAUUAAGUAAACUGCUUUCUGUUCAAAACCAAUAAUCAUACUAUCAGUCGUUUGUUCUUAAGAUCUGGACGUACAUAGACUUCUGAUUGAGACAAUGAAUAAGGGUGUGCAUGAGGCAGUCCUCUAGUAGUUUACAUUAGCUGAAUAGAGACGGUUCCAACUUUGCAGUGUUACCCAUCAGAAAGUGCGGGAAAGUUGUAGGACAUGAUAUGUUUUUUGCCCUUGUUUUACUUUGUCCCCCAUUUUCCCUCCAAUUGUUUAUGUAGCUUAACUCUGUGUAAUCCCUUCACCCACUCUUCCUGAUCAUAAUUUCUUUAGUUCUUCUGUUGAAAAUAGUAUCAUGUUGCAAAUCGGCGACUUCAUGUGUGAAAGCAUUCCAGCAAGGUUGUAACUAUUUUUGUUCUAUGUGAUAAUUUAGCUUUCUUUUGGGUGAUAGACACAUGUUUAGGCAAACAUAGUUAUAAUUCAUUCAUAGUGCUCCUCUAUUGCUAGUUUGCUACAAUGUAAUAUAUCACAUGUUUAUAUAUUAAUUUGUUAUUGCUAUGAUUCAUACAUCUUUACAAAGAGCUUCUAAUAUGUUUCGCAUCAUAGCAUUCUUCAUAAUUGAGAAAUAUAAAAAUUAAGGGCUAUGCUAACAUCUUUCAAUUAAAAGAAAACAUCGCCGGGACAGAUGUUGUGUAACGCAGUAUUCUUAAGUAUUGUCCCUCAGUGCUUAGUUAGUGGCAGACUGAAGCAAACAAAGAUCAAAAUCUCAGAAAGAUAGAGUAUCAUUUUAUUGUGGUUUUGUUGUUUAUUCUUUGAGUUCUGUUUCGUCAAUUUAUAUAUAGAGCUUGUUGCCUUACUGUACUGUUGUGCCAUUUUGCAGGUUGAAACCCAGUAUUGAUUUCCAGUUCGAGGUAAAUGCAAAAGGAUCCUCCCCGGCUGAGAUCCUUGGUACAACCUACAAAACCACCCUGAAGCCCGCGCUCAAUGCUCUUGCUAAUGAGACUAAACGGCUAAUUAUCUCAAAGCGUGAUGAGUCAAUUGAUCUACAAAAGCAGUUGCAAGGAAUUGCUAAAAUGCUGGAGGAGAAAAGGAGCCAUGUUUCUGUUCUACAGGCUAAACAUAAUGAGGUCAGUCACCUUAUACUAUAAAUGAUACAUCACAGCAUGAAAAAGUAAAACAAAUACCUGAAGUCCAUUUUAACUCUUAGUAUGUUCAUGAUUGACUUUUUUAAACUCAUGCAUCAAAGUGGAAAUUCUUUCUGUAUAAUGCGAAAGUUGUUUACAAUCCUGGCAAAAUGGAGAUUCUGUACUUUGGGUUGAUAAAAUUCGUCCAGUAGUCUAAAAAUAUCAUGAAUUUAGUACUCAUUACAGCGUAGAAAAUAGUUGGCUUAUUAGUUAUGUGCUGUGCAUCAUGGAAAAAGUACUGAAGUGAACUCUUUUUUAUUUAAAUUCUCAAGUCAACACUGGCCAAUGGCUUACUUCCUUGUCUUAUAUUCCCUCAGUUCAACAAUACAUGUUAUAUUGUGUUUGACUUUUGACAUGGUCUCUAGCGUGCAUUUUUGGCUGUUGGUUUUCAUAUGAAUAAUUUAGCAAAGAGUCAUAAGAUUAUAAUUUUGUAAAUAUUUUCAGGGCAAACCUAAUCAUACUGUUUUCACUCUGCCAAUCCAAAUUAUAAACAUCAGUUGUCAAAGUUAGAGAUGCGUUACUUAUAUUCCUGAAUGGAGAUACUAAUUGGUUACAACGUUCCGGUGACCUGCAUUUUAUGGUACUGUGGUUUGUUUUAUUUCUCAUCUGCUCCAACUGCUAGAGAACCAGUGUCCUAAGGGCAUGUAUAAUGGGGUGAUGUCAGUUCCUCUUGGUAAUGCCCCUGCCACGUAAGAUGUUUCUAUCGAUGGAGUCAGAUGCCAUGUCUUGGUCUUAUUUAGUUAUCACUUAUCACUACAUAAUUUUAGGGGCAUGCAGAUAUUAAUUGCUAGAAACAACAUAAAGAGAUAAUCCAUUGUGUAACAUGUUCGAAUUAUCAUCUUUAAAUGACAUGGAAGCUUAAGAGAAGGUUGCCUUCUCAACUACUGCACAUGCCCUGAAAGGCAUCAGCGGUACUAGUAGUUAUAUUUCAUUUCACAUCGUGGUUUCUGUUCCCAGAUGACUGGUCAGCUGGAUUCACUGGAUCGUGAAAUCCAAACUCACGUUUCACGCUGCGCAGCCGAUGCUAGAAAAUUGAAAGACGAGCUAGAGAAAAAGGAACAUCACAUGAGCACCGUUGAGAAGGAGGCAGAAGAGUUUUUGAAGGUAACAUGGUCUUUUAAAUUUGCUCUGUUUCCCGUAGCAUGACACAUGUACCACCAUCAGAUAAAUUAUUUGCAUCAUUGUUGUGACUUGGCAGAACUCGGAAGAGGGUCUCCAGGCCGCAUUGAGGGAGACCGACGAAGAAACCCAGAUGUGCGCGAGGGAGCUGCUUAAGCUCAUCGAUUCAAUCGCGGAGUACAAGGAGUUUGUGGAACAGUUGACUGCCGAGAUGAAGAAAGACCUCUAUGAAUGCGUGGACGACAUAGCUUCGCUGUCAGCCAAGAUAGUCUGAGGCUGGUUACAUGUUGGAAGCGAGUUAGAUGUUCUCCCUCGGUUCCAUAAUGCAUUGCAUGUAGAUUUUUUGAAAAGUCAAACCUCACAAACUUUGAUCGAGUUUUUCUGGAGAAAAACAUCUACAUCACAAGAAGUAGUUUCGUAUUCGAUAUUUGGUAUCGAAGAUAUAAAUAGUUUUCUGUGUAAACCUGGUCAAAUUUUGCGAAGUUUGGCUUUUCAAAAUAUCUGUACGCACUACAUUAUGGAUUAUGGAGUAGAGGGAGUAUGUAUGAUGCUUUUAGAGAUUGUUGAAAUGACGGCUGUGUCUGAGCUCCCAGUUUCGUGACUGACAGUCAAGCGCAGAAAAAUAGAAGUCGUUACUAACAGGUCUUUGUGCAGCUGCAGGGGACAGCCCCCACGCACUGCCAUAAGAUAAAAACCAGAGCCAACUCAAGUUGCAGCUGCUAGGUAAACAGAUUCAGCAGCACUGCGUUCAAUUCAACAUACAGAACAACACUUUUAGCAAGGGUAUGUAUGGACAAACGAAUGGAUCAUGCAGCGUGCAUCGCCAUCCUUCGUCCUUGACAUAUGAGUAAGGUCAUGUCAGCAGGCUUAAUUCCUUGGAAACAAGAUUUAUUUCUUGUUUUCCAGAGUCUGAGAAAUGGCAGCAGCACCCACCAUAACCCCCUACCGAUCCCUACCAGAAACAACCAGGUAUUGCUCAAAUAAGAGGAGCAAGUAGGCUCUGUGCUGAUCCUAAACCCUGUGGCAGCAUUCCAGACACAUUUAGCUCGCCUUGAUGUCGCAGUGGAGCACCAUGGACUCAUACUCAUGGUAGACAUAGUGUAGGCCGCUGGCUAUGUCCCUGACGAUCUCGUACCGGGCGGCCCAUUCCCGGAUGUUAGCUCUGAACACGGGCAGUGGCUCUCCUUUGUUGUAACACCACCCUCGAAAGUAGUGUUCCCUCUGCCCCAAAAUAAGUGCCGCUGAUUUCAUACAAAGUUGAGGGUGUAGAUGAAAAAUAUAUUAUAUAUUUUUAGAACAAAAGCUGAUUUAGUGAACAAGACUUCUUUUUUUGAAAUUGCACUGAGCACAGCCUGUCUGAGUCCAAGUGAACAAGGGAUGAGAUGGGUCGUACUGUGACCAUUUCCGCCCAGGAGGUUAACCAUCAGAUCUUCAUAUUCACUUUGACAAAGAUGUCAAAUAUGGGGAAUGAGCUGAGACUAAACAAUACAUGAUGCACUAGCACUACAUUGCAGCUCAAGUUUCACUCCAUAAUUUAAUAACAACUCUAACAACUUAACAAGUAGAUAUCUUGCCUUGAUAAGCCAGCCAUAAUACCAAGUCAUGAAACAGAAAUUCCCUAGCACUGUCCAAAAGCCAGAAAUCAACACCAACUGUUGAAUAUCAUUCUACCACAACAUUCGUCAUGAUCACUACUUAGGUAGCUAGUGUUCGGUCCUUUUUUAUGCAAUUUGAAGUGCAGCAGCAUAGCGGUCGAUGACAACAUGCCACAGCGUACUGUCGACGACUUUGAAAGUGCAGGUGUCUCCUGCCUUGAGCCCGUUCUCCUUGCAGAAUUUUGGCCAGCCUGUUACAAGCCUAUUCGUAGCCUUUCUGGUGCCCGGAUACAAGGCCACACCUUCCACCUCCCAAGAAUUGUCGCUCUCCAUGGGCUUGAGCGCGAUCUUGCAACUCUCCACGAAUCCGAAGGGCCGUGGCAAACUCUGCAAGCCAUUGCAGCACAGGGCAAAAGUUAUUGGUUGGGAAAAUUGGAUAUUAUCGGAUGGGUUAUUUGUAUCACAGUUGAUGAGUGAAAUGAUGACAAAUUGACAACAUUAUGCACGAGUUGAUAAUACUCUGUCAUGUCAAGAGUUGUCUGAUAGAUUGUUUAGUUCCCUUAUUUCCAAAAGGUGCACUCGUAUUUCUUACUCUAUUUUUUUUUUCAAAUAAGUUCCUAAUUUGCUCAUGGAGUAAAAUAAUAAUUGUACUUACACAUUUUUAAGCACAGAACCGCUGCUGAUCGUCUUCCUUAACCAAGCCUGCGACCCUGCAGAUCCAAGCUCAUAGACACACUUUGUCUUCUUGUUUAGGUGCCCUGAAGUUGUUGGGCUUUCUACCAUCCUUUCGUUUCCUUUUCGGAGUUUUCGGAGUGGAAACAUGUUCUUCCUCUUGGCUUUGUGCUCCAGGAGCUGAGAGGACAAUGGUUGUAAUCAAUUUAAUCUAUGACCAAGAUAUAGUUUUUCAGAAAAGUUUGACUACUCACAUUGCUCGCUUUGCUGAGACGAGCUUGUUUCUUCCUCAAUGUGCUCAUUAUUCCCAUGUCCAUAGGUCUCCAAUGAGAAGGUCAUGCGCCCGUGAUACUUGAUCAGCAGGACAUGAGUUUCAGACAGGUUUUUGUGUUCCAGAAACUUUGGCCAUAAGGGUCCGGCGAAGAAGACAUUCGGGCCAUCCUUCUCGAGGUCGACAUGCCAGGAUGUCGAAAAAAUGGCUGCCGGUUUCGGUCUGCUCAGGUCUUCUUCUGAGAUGUAUCCUCGCCGCAGAAACUCAGGAGGGAUAGGCUGCAAGAACAGUUGGAACGACAUAAUGCAGUGAACAUACAUGCUCAGCAGCUUAAUGGUUCUGAACAUUUGAACGGGAAAAAUUAAACAAACCAUCUUUUCCUUGAAACUUGUCUGAAAUGGCACAAUGAACUGGGGCUUACGAGCAAAUGCAUUCUCGAUCUCAGCUGGGCUCAAAACUGAAUAUGAACAAGCGUGAAUUAGUUGUCUAAUGUUUGAGCUAUGAUUGUUGUAAUUGUUAGGUCAAAAGUACAUGUAACUAACUAAGGAAGUCCAGACGCACCAGUAAUUGUUAGGCCGAAUGGUUUAAUAACAAAGCCGUCGUCGAACACCUUUAGGGUGACCGUGCCGCGCAAUACAUGCUUGAACACCAAGUAGCAGCCGACGCCAAUGCCGUGCACGGCAACAAACUGUGGCCACCCAUCACCCAGGAACGAGCCGUUGGAGUCUCGGCCGACGGUGAUGCCCCAGGGUUUCUUGCCGAACGGACUCAUGAUGUGGGCCUUAUGUUCAGCGCCACGAUCUCCGGUAUCGAACCACCGAGCGGUCUCAUCGUUGAUGCGCUGCAUAAUCACAGUGGGGUUCGUCAUGGAAGUAUAUAUCAGGAUAUAAGAUGGACAACACUGGAGCAGUAACAGUGACGUCGUUCUUACUCCCUCCGUCCCAUAAUAUAAGAGCCUUUUUUACAAUAGUGUAGUGUCAAAAACACUCUUAUAUUAUGGGACGGAGGGAGUACAAGAUACUUGGAAGCAGGCAGUUUCACCAUCUGCUGCAUCUUGGUUCGCAUGCCAUAGUUGCCGGACGAUCCCAUUGCGCUUGACACUACCUGCGAACAGUGACAUGUCAACGUGCACGACAAGGACAGAGAAAUGCAAAUCUGUUGCAUCUGCAAGUGUAAAAGAAUGUAAAAACACUUUUUUCAGUCUUUUAUGUACGUACUGAUGAAGAAAAGAAUCAUCAGUAACUGCAAAGCCCUGCUUAUUAGCUCGCAUUACCUUGUGAUCCAGUGAACAGAGUCUCUAUUCCAUUUCCAAAGCAACACUAUGCAGAAUAGGUGAUCUUUAUAUACUACUGUAGUACAAAUUAAUGCAUGGAGGCUAGGCUAGUACAGUACAACUAGAAAUUAUUAGCUGGUUUUGUACUGAUUAUUUACAAACGAGGAGCCUCUAGCUAGUUUAGUUUCUAAUUAUAUAUAUUUGCCCUCUGAAGAAAGUCGUAUUAGCUGAUUUUGUGCUGAUUAUUUGCCUGGCUGUUUCCUCCUCACGCUGCUGGAAGCGGACCCCUUCCACCGGUAAAAGAAGAAAUUGCGAUAGCAAUGCUAGAUUCUAGCAUCGUGCCGUUUAUUUGCACUGGAUUGUACGAACCGGCUGAUUAACCAUGUACUGAAUGAUGUAACUCUGUCGUUUUCGCAAUAAAGUGCCAAGAGGCUUUUCCCUUAAAAAAAAAAGAAACCCUGCUGGUUCAUGUUUUCAAUCAAACUAGUAGUGCUCAUAUGGAUAUUGGAAGACAUGCAUGAACUAAAAUCUAGUAAAUAUCAAAUCAUGCCGGUCAGAGGCAGGAGAUCUCUUGAUGCAUGGCGUCUCCCAGGCGCGAAAUGUUUGAAAACGCAUCUGAGAGACCCGGGGUGGAUCUUCCGAAGAAAAGAAAAUAGUACUAUCACGUUUGAAUCGAAAUAAAUCACAUCUGGAGGGCUUUGGGCGUGUGAAAAAAAAAAGGCUGUUUUGAAAAUCAGUAGCAUACGCGGCGAAUAUCCAGCUUUGGAUGGAUCCGCGGCGUGGAGAUGGAGUACCCCAUCGGUAGAUCCAUUCGUUCCACGCUUACUCGACACCUCUCGAUUUGAGUGGGAGACACUAGCUAAUGCAUCUCACCAAGUCACAAGCCAAGGGUUUGAGUGAGGAGGGAAGAGGGGGAAAAGGAGGACGGAGAUGGGGGCCGGUUACCUCCUGCCCUGCUUCCCUACGGCCGGCCUUGCUCCUUCCUUCCUUGCGCUCCCCGUACGUCGACCGCCGGAGUGCCUGCGCCUCUCGCCUAGCUGUGCGCGGUGGCGGUGGCGGUGGCGGUGCCUGUGAGAGGGGAUGGGAGGUGAGGGGACGGGACGAGCGACUGCAGUGGAGUGGAGAGGCCAGCGGCGGACCGGACGAGCUACUUGUAGUGGUAGUGCUAGACAGUACUCGAUGCCGCUGUACUGUAGUAGCAGUGGUACUGCCAUGCACGGGACACGAAGCAAAUAAGUACAGUAGUAAUAAAAGAGCUUGCCGUCCCUUCCUCCCAGCUUCUGUCUCUUUGGACGUCGCCUACCACCACAUCACAUCACAUCAGGAUCAGAGACUCACGGGAAGAUAUCACAACACAACUCUAAAACAUAAAUAAGUCAUACAAGCAUCAUAAUACAAGCCAGGGGCCUCGAGGGCUCGAAUACAAGUGCUCGAUCAUAGGCGAGUCAGCGGAAGCAACAAUAUCUGAGUACAGACAUAAGUUAAACAAGUUUGCCUUAAGAAGGCUAGCAAAUACAGAUCGAAAGAGGCGCAGGCCUCCUGCCUGGGAUCCUCCUAACUACUCCUGGUCGUCGUCAGCGGGCUGCACGUAGUAGUAGGCACCUCCGGUGUAGUAGGAGUCGUCGUCGACGGUGGCGUCUGGCUCCUGGGCUCCAGCAUCUGGUUGCGACAACCAGGUAGAAAGGAAAGGGAGAAAAGAGGGAGAAAAGCAACCGUGAGUACUCAUCCAAAGUACUCGCAAGCAAGGAGCUACACUACAUAUGCAUGGGUAUAUGUGUAAAGGGCCAUAUCAGUGGACUGAACUGCAGAAUGCCAGAAUAAGAGGGGGAUAUCUAAUCCUGUCGAAGACUACGCUUCUGGCCACCUCCAUCUUGCAGCAUGUAAAAGAGAGUAGAUGGUAAGUUCACCAAGUAGCAUCGUAUAGCAUAAUCCUACCCGGAGAUCCCCUCCUCGCCGCCCUAUUAGAGAGCGAUCGCCGAGUUAUAUCUGGCACUUGGAAGAGUGUGUUUUAUUAAGUAUCCAGUUCUAGUUGUCAUAAGGUCAAGGUACAACUCCGGGUCGUCCUUUUACCGAGGGACACGACUAUUCGAAUAGAUAAACUUCCCUGCAGGGGUGCACCACAUAACCCAACACGCUUGAUCCCAUUUGGCCGGACACACUUUCCUGGGUCAUGCCCGGCCUCGGAAGAUCAACACGUCGCAGCCCCACCUAGGCACAACAGAGAGGUCAGCACGCCGGUCUAAAUCCUAUGGCGCAGGGGUCUGGGCCCAUCGCCCAUUGCACACCUGCACGUUGCGAGGGCGGCCGGAAGCAGAACUAGCCCCCUUAAUACAAGAGCAGGCUUACGUUCCAAUCCGGCGCGCGCCGCUCAGUCGCUGACGUCACGAAGGCUUCGGCUGAUACCACGACGUCGAGUGCCCAUAACUUUCCCAUGUAGUUGGUUAGUGCGUAUAGACCAAAUGGCCAGACUCAGAUCAAAUACCAAGAACUCGUUAAGCGUGUUAUUUUAAAGUAACCGCGAACGCCGACCAGGGCCAGUCCCACCUCUCACCUAGGCAGUCUCAACCUGCCCUGUCGCUCCGCCACAAAGAUCCACCCAGAGGGCCGUCGGGACAAAGGUCCUUUCAGCCCCCAAUCCGUGAAUCACUCGCGGGUGCUCCACGAGCCGACCCGACUUUAGUCUCCACAUGUAUCAUGUAUAAAGUAUAGUAUAUACCCGUGAUCACCUCCCAAGUGAUCACGGCCCGAUAGUAUAGCACAGCAGACGGACAAGAAUGUAGGGCCACUGAUGGAAAACUAGCAUCCUAUACUAAGCAUGUAGGAUUGCAGGUAAAGGUAACAACAGUAGUGGCAAAGACAGGCUAUGCAGCAGAAUAGGAUUAACGAAAAGCAGUAACAUGCUACACUACUCUAAUGCAAGAGUAUAGAGAAGAAUAGGCGAUAUCUGGUGAUCAAGGGGGGGGGGGCUUGCCUGGUUGCUCUGGCAAGAAAGAGGGGUCGUCAACUCCGUAGUCGAACUGGGCAGCAGCAGCGUCGGUCUCGUAGUCUACCGGAGAGAAGAGGGGGAAGAAACAGUAAAUACAAUGCAAACAUAAGCAUGACGGUGCAUGACAUGACAAUGCGCGGUGUCAGGUGUGCCCUAACGCGGUAGGAAGUGAUACCGACGAAGGGGGGAAACAUCUGGGAAAGUAUCCCCGGUGUUUCGCGUUUUCGGACAGACGAACCAGAGGUGAAAUGUUGCAUGUUUGAUAUGUUAGGGAUGUGUGGCGGACGAACGGGCUGCGUAUCUGGAUUCGUCUCGUCGUUCUGAGCAACUUUCAUGUAGAAAGUAUUUUCAUCCGAGUUACAGAUUAUUUUAUAUGAUUUUCUAAAGAUUUAAUCAUUUUCUAAUUAUAAUUAUUUAUUUAAAUCCAACAUUAUCCAGAACAGUAUGGGAUGACGUCAGCAUGACGUAUGUGUGAUGCCAGUGUUGGAAAUAUGCCCUAGAGGCAAUAAUAAAUGGUUAUUAUUAUAUUUCUUUGUUCAUGAUAAUUGUCUAUUGUUCAUGCUAUAAUUGUGUUAUCCGGAAAUCGUAAUACAUGUGUGAAUACAUAGACCACAACAUGUCCCUAGUGAGCCUCUAGUUGACUAGCUCGUUGAUCAACAGAUAGUCAUGGUUUCCUGACUAUGGACAUUUGAUGUCAUUGAUAACGGGAUCACAUCAUUAGGAGAAUGAUGUGAUGGACAAGACCCAAUCCUAAGCAUAGCUCAAAGAUCGUGUAGUUCGUUUGCUAGAGCUUUUCCAAUGUCAAGUAUCUUUUCCUUAGACCAUGAGAUCGUGUAACUCCCGGAUGCCGUAGGAGUGCUUUGGGUGUGCCAAACGUCACAACGUAACUGGGUGACUAUAAAGGUGCACUACGGGUAUCUCUGAAAGUGUCUGUUGGGUUGACACGGAUCGAGACUGGGAUUUGUCACUCCGUAUGACGGAGAGGUAUCUCUGGGCCCACUCGGUAAUGCAUCAUCAUAAUGAGCUCAAUGUGACUAAGGAGUUAGCCACGGGAUCAUGCAUUACGGUACGAGUAAAGUGACUUGCCGGUAACGAGAUUGAACAAGGUAUUGGGAUACCGACGAUCGAAUCUCGGGCAAGUAACGUACCGAUUGACAAAGGGAAUUGCAUAUGGGAUUGAUUGAAUCCUCGACAUCGUGGUUCAUCCGAUGAGAUCAUCGUGGAACAUGUGGGAGCCAACAUGGGUAUCCAGAUCCCGCUGUUGGUUAUUGACCGGAGAGGCGUCUCGGUCAUGUCUGCAUCUCUCCCGAACCCGUAGGGUCUACACACUUAAGGUUCGGUGACACUAGGGUUGUAGAGAUAUUAGUAUGCGGAAACCCGAAAGUUGUUCGGAGUCCCGGAUGAGAUCCCGGACGUCACGAGGAGUUCCGGAAUGGUCCGGAGGUAAAGAAUUAUAUAUAGGAAGUCCAGUUUCGGCCACCGGGAAAGUUUCGGGGGUUAUCGGUAUUGUACCGGGACCACCGGAAGGGUCCCGGGGGUCCACCGGGUGGGGCCACCUAUCCCGGAGGGUCCCAUGGGCUGAAGUGGGAAGGGAACCAGCCCUUAGUGGGCUGGGGCGCCCCCCUUGGGCCUUCCCGUGCGCCUAGGGUUGGAAACCCUAGGGGUGGGGGGCGCCCCCCCUUUGGCUUGUGGGGGAAGCCACCUCCCCCCCCCCUUGGCCGCCGCCCCCCCAUGCAGAUGGGAUCUCCAGGGCUGGCGCCCCCCCAGGGGGCCUAUAUAUAGUGGGGGGAAGGGAGGGCAGCAACACCACAGCCCUUGGCGCCUCCCUCUCCCCCUGCAACACCUCUCCCUCUCGCAGAAGCUUGGCGAAGCCCUGCCGAGAUCCCGCUACAUCCACCACCACGCCGUCGUGCUGCUGGAUCUCCAUCAACCUCUCCUUCCCCCUUGCUGGAUCAAGAAGGAGGAGACGUUGCUGCUCCGUACGUGUGUUGAACGCGGAGGUGCCGUCCGUUCGGCACUCGGUCAUCGGUGAUUUGGAUCACGGCGAGUACGACUCCAUCAACCCCGUUCACUUGAACGCUUCCGCUCGCGAUCUACAAGGGUAUGUAGAUGCACUCCUUUCCCCUCGUUGCUAGUAUACUCCAUAGAUGGAUCUUGGUGAUGCAUAGGAAAUUUUAAAAUUCUGCUUCGAUCCCCAACAGUGGCAUCAUGAGCCAGCCCUAUGCGUAGUUACUAUGCACGAGUAGAACACAAAGCAGUUGUGGGCGUAGAUCAUGUCAAUUUACUUGCCUCUACUAGUCCUAUCUUGAUUCGGCAGCAUUGUGGGAUGAAGCGGCCCGGACCGACCUUACACGUACGCUUACGUGAGACUGGUUCCACCGACUGACAUGCACUAGUUGCAUAAGGUGGCUGGCGGGUGUCUGUCUCUCCCACUUUAGUCGGAUCGGAUUCGAUGAAAAGGGUCCUUAUGAAGGGUAAAUAGUAAUUGGCAUAUCACGUUGUGGUUUUACGUAGGUAAGAAACGUUCUUGCUAUAAACCUAUAGAAGCCACGUAAAAACUUGCAACAACAAUUAGAGGAUGUCUAACUUGUUUUUGCAGCAUGUGCCUUGUGAUGUGAUAUGGCCAGAAGAUGUGAUGAAUGAUAUAUGUGAUGUAUGAGAUUGAUCAUAUUCUUGUAAUAGGAAUCACGACUUGCAUGUCGAUGAGUAUGACAACCGGCAGGAGCCAUAGGAGUUGUCUUUAUUAUUUUGUAUGACCUGCGUGUCAUUGAAUAACGCCAUGUAAAUUACUUUACUUUAUUGCUAAACGCGUUAGCCAUAGAAGUAGAAGUAAUCGUUGGCGUGGCAACUUCAUGAAGACACGAUGAUGGAGAUCAUGGUGUCAUGCCGGUGACGAAGAUGAUCAUGGCGCCCCGAAGAUGGAGAUCAAAGGAGCAAAAUGAUAAUGGCCAUAUCAUGUCACUAUUUGAUUGCAUGUGAUGUUUAUCAUGUUUUGCAUCUUAUUUGCUUACAACGACGGUUGUGAGUAAGAUGAUCCCUUAUAAUAAUUUCAAGAAAGUGAUCACCCUAACUGUGCACCAUUGCGAAGGUUCGUUGUUUCGAAGCACCACGUGAUGAUCGGGUGUGAUAGAUUCUAACGUUCGCAUACAACGGGUGUUGACGAGCCUAGCAUGUACAGACAUGGCCUCGGAACACACGCAAAACACUUAGGUUACCUUGACGAGCCUAGCAUGUACAGACAUGGCCUCGGAACACGGAAGACCGAAAGGUCGAGCAUGAGUCGUAUAGAAGAUACGAUCAACAUGGAGAUGUUCACCGAUCUUGACUAGUCCGUCUCACGUGAUGAUCGGACACGGCCUAGUUAACUCGGAUCAUGUUUCACUUAGAUGACUAGAGGGAUGUCUAUCUGAGUGGGAGUUCAUUGAAUAAUUUGAUUAGAUGAACUUAAUUAUCAUGAACUUAGUCUAAAAUCUUUACAAUAUGUCUUGUAGAUCAAAUGGCCCACGCUAAUGUCAACCUCAACUUCAACGCGUUCCUAGAGAAAACCAAGCUGAAAGACGAUGGUAGCAACUAUACGGACUGGGUCCGGAACUUGAGGAUCAUCCUCAUAGCUGCCAAGAAAGCAUAUGUUCUUGAAGCACCGCUAGGUGAAGCACCCGUCCCAGCAAACCAAGACGUUAUGAACGCCUGGCAAACACGUGUUGAUGAUUACUCCCUGGUUCAGUGCGGCAUGCUUUACAGCUUAGAACCGGGGCUCCAAAAGCGUUUCGAGCAGCACAGAGCAUAUGAGAUGUUCCAAGAGCUGAAAAUGGUUUUCCAAGCUCAUGCCCGGGUCGAGAGAUAUGAAGUCUCCGACAAGUUCUACAGUUGUAAGAUGGAGGAGAAUAGUUCCGUCAGCGAACACAUACUCAAAAUGUCUGGGUUGCACAACCGCUUGUCUCAGCUGGGAGUUAAUCUCCCGGAUGACGCGGUCGUUGACAGAAUCCUUCAGUCGCUUCCACCUAGCUACAAGAGCUUUGUGAUGAACUUCAAUAUGCAGGGGAUGGAGAAAACCAUUCCUGAGGUAUAUUCGAUGCUGAAAUCAGCGGAGGCGGAGAUCAAAAAGGAACAUCAAGUGUUGAUGGUGAAUAAGACCACUAAGUUCAAGAAAGGCAAGGGUAAAAAGAGCUUCAAGAAAGACGGCAAGGGAGUUGCCGCGACCGGUAAGCAAGCUGCCGGGAAGAAGACAAAGAAUGGACCCAAGCCUGAGACUGAGUGCUUUUAUUGCAAGGGAAAUGGUCACUUGAAGCGGAACUGCCCCAAGUACUUAGCGGACAAGAAGGCCGGCAAUACCAAAGGUAUAUGUGAUAUACAUGUUAUUGAUGUGUACCUAACCAGCGCUCAUAGUAGCUCCUGGGUAUUUGAUACUGGUGCGGUUGCUCAUAUUUGUAACUCAAAGCAGGAGCUGCGGAAUAAGCGGAGACUGGCGAAGGACGAGGUGACGAUGCGCGUCGGGAAUGGUUCCAAGGUCGAUGUGAUCGCCGUCGGCACGCUACCUCUACAUUUACCUACGGGAUUAGUUUUAAACCUCAAUAAUUGUUAUUUAGUGCCAGCUUUGAGCAUGAACAUCGUAUCUGGAUCUCGUUUGAUGCGAGAUGGCUACUCAUUUAAAUCCUAGAAUAUUGGUUGUUCUAUUUAUAUGAGAGAUAUGUUUUAUGGUCAUGCCCCACUGGUCAAUGGUGUAUUCUUAAUGAAUCUCGAAUGUGAUGUUACACAUAUUCAUAGUGUGAAUGCCAAGAAAUGUAAGGUUGAUAAUGAUAGUCCCACAUACUUGUGGCACUGCCGCCUUGGUCACAUUGGUGUCAAACGCAUGAAGAAACUCCAUGCAGAUGGACUUUUGGAGGCUCUUGAUUAUGAAUCAUUUGACACGUGCGAACCAUGCCUCAUGGGCAAAAUCAAGACUCCGUUCUCCGGAACAAUGGAGCGAGCAACCAACUUAUUGGAAAUCAUACAUACUGAUGCGUGCGGUCCAAUGAGCAUUGAGGCUCGCGGUGGCUAUCGUUAUGUUCUCACCCUCACUGAUGACUUGAGUAGAUAUGGGUAUGUCUACUUAAUGAAACACAAGUCUGAGACCUUUGAAAAGUUCAAGGAAUUUCAGAGUGAGGUUGAGAAUCAACGUGACAGGAAAAUAAAGUUCUUACGAUCAGAUCGUGGAGGGGAAUAUUUGAGUCACGAAUUUGGCACACACUGAAGGAAAUGUGGAAUUGUUUCACAACUCACGCCGCCUGGAACACCUCAGCGUAAUGGUGUGUACGAACGUCGUAAUCGCACUCUAUUGGAUAUGGUGCGAUCUAUGAUGUCUCUUACCGAUCUACCGCUAUCAUUUUGGGGUUAUGCUUUAGAGACUGCCGCAUUCACUUUAAAUAGGGCUCCGUCGAAAUCCGUUGAGACGACACCGUAUGAAUUAUGGUUUGGGAAGAAACCUAAGCUGUCGUUUCUUAAAGUUUGGGGAUGCGAUGCUUAUGUCAAGAAACUUCAACCUGAAAAGCUCGAACCCAAGUCGGAAAAAUGCGUCUUCAUAGGAUACCCUAAGGAAACCAUUGGGUAUACCUUCUACCUCAGAUCCGAAGGCAAGAUCUUUGUUGCCAAGAACGGGUCCUUUCUGGAGAAAGAGUUUCUCUCGAAAGAAUUAAGUGGGAGGAAAGUGGAACUUGAUGAGGUGAUAGUCACCCCUUCCGAACCGGAAAGUAGCGCAGCACGGGAAGAUGUUCCUGUGGUGCCUACACCGACUGGGGAGGAAGUUAAUGAUGAUGAUCAUGAAGCUUCGGAUCAAGUUACUGCUGAACCUCGUAGGUCCACAAGGACACGUUCCGCACCAGAGUAGUACGGCAACCCUGUCCUGGAAAUCAUGUUGUUAGACAACGGUGAACCUUCGAACUAUGAAGAAGCGAUGGCGGGCCCGGAUUCCGACAAAUGGCUAGAAGCCAUGAAAUCCGAGAUAGGAUCCAUGUAUGAAAACGAAGUAUGGACUUUGACUGACUUGCCCGAUGAUCAGCGAGCCAUAGAAAAUAAAUGGAUCUUUAAGAAGAAGACAGACGCGGAUGGUAAUGUGACCAUCUAUAAGGCUCGACUUGUCGCUAAGGGUUAUCGACAAGUUCAAGGGGUUGACUAUGAUGAGACUUUCUCACCCGUAGCGAAGCUGAAGUACGUCCGAAUCAUGUUAGCAAUUGCCGCAUUCUAUGAUUAUGAGAUAUGGCAAAUGGACGUCAAAACGGCAUUCCUUAACGGCUUCCUUAAGGAAGAAUUGUAUAUGAUGCAGCCGGAAGGUUUUGUCGAUCCUAAUAAUGCUAACAAGGUAUGCAAGCUCCAGCGCUCCAUCUAUGGGCUGGUGCAAGCAUCUCGGAGUUGGAACAUUCGCUUUGAUGAGAUGAUCAAAGCGUUUGGGUUUACAUAGACUUAUGGAGAAGCCUGUGUUUACAAGAAAGUGAGUGGGAGCUCUGUAGCAUUUCUCAUAUUAUAUGUGGAUGACAUACUAUUGAUGGGAAAUGAUAUAGAAUUCUUGGAAAGUAUAAAGGCCUAUUUGAAUAAGUGUUUUUCAAUGAAGGACCUUGGAGAAGCUGCAUAUAUAUUAGGCAUCAAGAUCUAUAGAGAUAGAUCAAGACGCCUCAUUGGUCUUUCACAGAGUACGUACCUUGACAAGAUAUUGAAGAAGUUCAAUAUGGAUCAGUCCAAGAAGGGGUUCUUGCCUGUAUUGCAAGGUGUGCAAUUGAGCACGACUCAAUGCCCGACCACGGCAGAAGAUAGAGAAAAGAUGAGUGUCAUCCCCUAUGCCUCGGCCAUAGGGUCUAUUAUGUAUGCCAUGCUGUGUACCAGACCUGAUGUAAACCUUGCCGUAAGUUUGGUAGGAAGGUACCAAAGUAAUCCCGGCAUGGAACACUGGACAGCGGUCAAGAAUAUCCUGAAGUACCUGAAGAGGACUAAGGAUAUGUUUCUUGUUUAUGGAGGUGACGAAGAGCUCGUCGUAAAAGGUUACGUCGACGCUAGCUUCGACACAGAUCUGGAUGACUCGAAGUCACAAACCGGAUACGUGUAUAUUUUGAAUGGAGGGGCAGUAAGCUGGUGCAGUUGCAAGCAAAGUGUCGUGGCGGGAUCUACAUGUGAAGCGGAGUACAUGGCAGCCUCAGAGGCAGCGCAAGAAGCAAUCUGGAUGAAGGAGUUCAUUACCGACCUAGGGGUGAUUCCCAAUGCGUCGGGCCCGAUGACUCUCUUCUGUGACAACACUGGAGCUCUUGCCCUUGCCAAGGAGCCCAGGUUUCACAGGAAGACCAGGCAUAUCAAGCGUCGCUUCAACUCCAUUCGUGACAGUGUUCAAAAUGGAGACAUAGAUAUUUGUAAAGUACAGACGGACCUGAAUGUAGCAGAUCCGUUGACUAAACCUCUCCCUAGAGCAAAACAUGAUCAACACCAGAACUCUAUGGGUGUUCGAUUCAUCACAAUGUGACUAGAUUAUUGACUCUAGUGCAAGUGGGAGACUGUUGGAAAUAUGCCCUAGAGGCAAUAAUAAAUGGUUAUUAUUAUAUUUCUUUGUUCAUGAUAAUUGUCUAUUGUUCAUGCUAUAAUUGUGUUAUCCGGAAAUCGUAAUACAUGUGUGAAUACAUAGACCACAACAUGUCCCUAGUGAGCCUCUAGUUGACUAGCUCGUUGAUCAACAGAUAGUCAUGGUUUCCUGACUAUGGACAUUGGAUGUCAUUGAUAACGGGAUCACAUCAUUAGGAGAAUGAUGUGAUGGACAAGACCCAAUCCUAAGCAUAGCUCAAAGAUCGUGUAGUUCGUUUGCUAGAGCUUUUCCAAUGUCAAGUAUCUUUUCCAUAGACCAUGAGAUCGUGUAACUCCCGGAUGCCGUAGGAGUGCUUUGGGUGUGCCAAACGUCACAACGUAACUGGGUGACUAUAAAGGUGCACUACGGGUAUCUCUGAAAGUGUCUGUUGGGUUGACACGGAUCGAGACUGGGAUUUGUCACUCCGUAUGACGGAGAGGUAUCUCUGGGCCCACUCGGUAAUGCAUCAUCAUAAUGAGCUCAAUUUGACUAAGGAGUUAGCCACGGGAUCAUGCAUUACGGUACGAGUAAAGUGACUUGCCGGUAACGAGAUUGAACAAGGUAUUGGGAUACCGACGAUCGAAUCUCGGGCAAGUAACGUACCGAUUGACAAAGGGAAUUGCAUAUGGGAUUGAUUGAAUCCUCGACAUCGUGGUUCAUCCGAUGAGAUCAUCGUGGAACAUGUGGGAGCCAACAUGGGUAUCCAGAUCCCGCUGUUGGUUAUUGACCGGAGAGGCGUCUCGGUCAUGUCUGCAUGUCUCCCGAACCCGUAGGGUCUACACACUUAAGGUUCAGUGACGCUAGGGUUGUAGAGAUAUUAGUAUGCGGAAACCCGAAAGUUGUUCGGAGUCCCGGAUGAGAUCCUGGACGUGACGAGGAGUUACGGAAUGGUCCGGAGGUAAAGAAUUAUAUAUAGGAAGUCCAGUUUCGGCCACCGGGAAAGUUUCGGGGGUUAUCGGUAUUGUACCGGGACCACCGGAAGGGUCCCGGGGGUCCACCGGGUGGGGCCACCUAUCCCGGAGGGUCCCAUGGGCUGAAGUGGGAAGGGAACCAGCCCUUAGUGGGCUGGGGCGCCCCCCUUGGGCCUCCCCCUGCGCCUAGGGUCGGAAACCCUAGGGGUGGGGGGCGCCCCCCCUUUGGCUUGUGGGGGAAGCCACCUUCCCCCCCCCUUGGCCGCCGCCCCCCAUGCAGAUGGGAUCUCCAGGGCCGGCGCCCCCCCAGGGGGCCUAUAUAUAGUGGGGGGAAGGGAGGGCAGCAACACCACAGCCCCUGGCGCCUCCCUCUCCCCCUGCAACACCUCUCCCUCUCGCAGAAGCUUGGCGAAGCCCUGCCGAGAUCCCGCUACAUCCACCACCACGCCGUCGUGCUGCUGGAUCUCCAUCAACCUCUCCUUCCCCCUUGCUAGAUCAAGAAGGAGGAGACGUCGCUGCUCCGUACGUGUGUUGAACGCGGAGGUGCCGUUCGUUCGUCACUCGGUCAUCGGUGAUUUGGAUCACGGCGAGUACGACUCCAUCAACCCUGUUCACUUGAACGCUUCUGCUCGCGAUCUACAAGGGUAUGUAGAUGCACUCCUUUCCCCUCGUUGCUAGUAUACUCCAUAGAUGGAUCUUGGUGAUGCGUAGGAAAUUUUAAAAUUCUGCUUCGAUCCCCAACAGCCAGCAGUCAAUAGUGCGGUUGACUGGAGUCAAAACUGACUUGUGGGUCCAGUGGGACCCACCUGUCAUUGAGCCAGAGUUGAAAUAGGAUUUGUUUUAAACUAAUUAUGAUUAACUAAGUGUGGGCCCCAUUAGUCAGUGACUAAUUAGCCUAGAUUAAUUAUUUUAACUAAUUUAAUUAGCUUAUUGAGUGGGGGCCACUGGUCAGCUGCUGGGACCAGCCUAGUCAGCAAGUUGACCAUGGUCAACUGGGCCAACCGGGCUCCUGGGGCCAGCAGGCAGUGACCGUGCUGGACCCUAGCGGCAGGCCACGUCGGCGGCCGGCACCGGAGCGACUCCGGCGACCAAAACAACGGGGGCCCCUCGCCGGAGUUGGCCGGAAUCGCGCUACGGGGCUCGGGGAGGAGCAUGGAUAGGUGCGUUCGAACGAGCUCACAACGCCGCGUCUAGUGGUGGCCGUAGCAUCGCCGGACUUGGCCAGAAUCGGCGCCGGCGAGCGGCGGAGGUGGCGGCGUGCACGGGUGCUCGACGAAAACGGAGCUGCGGCGUGCAAGCGAGCAAACAGAGAGGCUGGGGAGUUUCUACGCGGCGUGGGGAGUGCAACGGGGUUGAGCCCGUGACCAAAAGGUCACCGGAGCCUUGCCGGCGGCGAGCUCUGCGGUGAUGCGUUCGGGCGCUCAUCGGGGACGGCGUUAGGAGGCACGGGAGGGAGCGUGCGCAGGCGCGUUGGGCACCUAGGAACCCCAGGAGCACAACGGUGAGCUCGGGCGAGCGUGACGGCGGCUGUGGCCACGGCGGCGAGGUACACCAUGGCGACCAGAGCCUGGGCACGAUGACGAGCUAGCUAUAGCGCGAGCUAGGGGAGCUAGAGGGCAGAGGAGGGAGGCAGCUCACCGUGCGGCACGCAAGAUGGCCUGUGGUGGUUUAGUAGCAGCAGAGGAAACCGGAAUCGAGGGAUCUCGCCGGCGACAGAGGCGGAAGGGGGCGAGGUCGUGCGACGUCAGCGGUGCUUCCCAGCUCCACCUGAGGGCACCAGACGACGGAGUCGACCCCGGCGGAGCUUCACGACAAGACGGCGGAGCGAGGCGGUGGCUGUGGCCGUGGUGACGACGAAGAACGGCGGCGAGCGCGCUCGGGAUCGAGCGAGAGGAGAUGGGAGAGAUGGAUCUAGGGGAGGGGAGGUGCAAAGGCGAGCGAGAGGGGGGCAAGUGGGAGAGAUGGGUGGAGGCCGAGGCGUCGGGGCGGCCUUAUCCCCUCCCGGUGUCGGCGUCGGCGAGGUGGUCGGGCGGGGACGUGCCCCUGUAGCGGCACGCACCAGGGAAACAUGAGGGAGGGGAGAGCGACCGGGGAGGGGAGCUGGGCCUGUCUCUGUGGCCAUAGGCUCAGGGGCAUGGGCUUCCUCUCUCUUCCCUUUGCUUUCCUUUCCUUUUUUGAUUUAUUCCUGUUUUGCAAAUUGCUUAGCCACCAUUAGAGUUUUGUAAUAUAUGUGACUUAGCUCAACAAUUAUAGUGCAAUAUUUACCACUGCCAAAAAAAUGGUUUGGAGCCAAAAUGAUUUCAUUUGAAUUUUUAAUAAAUGAUAUGGCACUUUAAAUUUCUGUUUGAUGCUGUUUCAUGUUGUUUGAGUCACAUAAUGAAUUUAGGUGAUGUUUAUUUUUCUAAAGAUAAUUAGUUAUGAAUUAUUUUCUAUUUAAUGAACAUUUUAGUUUGCAUGUUUGAGAAACUUUGAAUUUCACUCAUAAUUUGAAUUUGAAUUUGACUUUGAUUUUUCAUCAAGUGAUAAAUAGCUCAGUAAGCAUGGUGACCUAGCACCAUUAACAGGGGAUUACUGUAGCAUGACACUGGGGGUGUUACAGUGGAAGGGAACCAGCCCCUAAGUGGGCUGGGCGCCAUCCCCCUUAGGGCCCAUGCGCCUAGGGUUGGGGGGAACCCUAACGGGGGCGCCCCCCUUGCUUGGGGGGCAAGCGCCCUCCCCCUUGGCCGCCACCCCCCUCUAGAUCUCAUCUAGAGGGGCCGGCCCCCUUCCCCCUUCUCCCUAUAAAUAGAGGGGUAGAGGGAGGGCUGCAGCACCACAUCCAAGGCGCAGCCCCUCCCCUCCCCAACACCUCUCCUCCUCCGCGUGAGCUUGGCGAAGCCCUGCCGGAGAACUGCCACUCCAUCACCACCACGCCGUCGUGCUGCUAUUGGAGCCCUCUUCCUCAGCCUCUCCCUCCUCCUUGCUGGAUCAAGGUGCGGGAGACGUCACCGGGCUGCACGUGUGUUGAACUCGGAGGUGCCGUUGUUCGGCGCUAGGAUCGGAAUCUACCGCGAUCUGAAUCGCUACGAGUACGACUCCCUCAUCCGCGUUCUUGCAACGCUUCCGACUCACGAUCUUCAAAGGUAUGAAGAUGCACUCCCCUCUUGUUGCUAGUAAACUCCAUAGAUUGAUCUUGAUGAUGCGUAGAAUUUUUUUAAUUUCUGCAACGAUCCCCAACAGUGGCAUCAUGAGCUAGGUCUAUGCGUAGUUUCUAUGCACGAGUAGAACACAAGUUGUUGUGGGCGUCAAUUUUGUCAAUUUACUUGCCAUUACUAGUCUUAUCUUGAUUCGGCGGCAUCGUGGGAUGAAGCGGCCCGGACCGACCUUACACGUACGCUUACGUGAGACACGUUCCACCGACUGACAUGCACUAGUUGCAUAAGGUGGCUAGCGGGUGUCUGCCUCUCCCACUUUAGUCGGAUCGGAUUAGAUGAAAAGGGUCCUUCUGAAGGGUAAACAGAAAUUGGCAUAUCACAUUGUGGUUUUGGCGUAGGUAAGAAACGUUUUUGCUAGAAACCUAUAGCAGCCACUAAAAAAAAA
rnacentral:lncRNA from 1 species